UGGAAAAAGGGAAGGGGUCUGAAUACGCUGUAUAGUAAUCUGAUCCAUUUUAACAGAUCAGCUAACCACAUCAUAUGAUAUAGCCAUCUGAUGCCUGACCGACGUGGUACGCAACGCCUAAGCAGUUGGGCAGGAAGUCGACCGUUACUGUUGCCCUGUCUUAUCCAGCUAUAUGACGACAGGACAACGUUGUUAUGCUUCUCUCUUUUUAAAACCGACAAACUAACUUUCCGUUGAGGGAUGCUAGUGAACCACUACUAUGAAACUAGUACUUCUCCUAGAGAGAGAAAAACCACCAGGGCAAGCAGCUUAUUAUUUCCCAAUGUUUAUUGUUGUAGCGGCUGUUCCACCAGUAUAAAACAGCAGACUGACAGUGUUUAUAGCACCACGGAGAACAAGACAUGAACGACUGUAACAUACUGAUACCAUGCAGAUAGAGCCACCAUGGAUACAACAGACAUGAUCCUCUAGGCUACCUGAAAGACCAUCAUGUCUGUUCUACAAUCCGUAGUGCCAUCUGAACGUCAGCAACGUGAUGGUUCCUCCUGGUUGUUGUCUACAUCAGGAGAGGAGGGGGAAGAGGAGGGAGGAAGGGGAAGGGGAGGGGGAAGAGUGUGUGUGUUUCCCACAACCUUGUCAGAAUGGCCCUCAUGGGUAGUACAGUGUGUGCAGAUGGUGGCUUUCCCUGGGCUGCUAGGAGACGGUGGCUUUCCCUGGGCUGCUAGGAGACGGUGGCUUUCCCUGGGCUGCUAGGAGACGGUGGCUUUCCCUGGGCUGCUAGGAGACGGUGGCUUUCCCUGGGCUGCUAGGAGACGGUGAGGUCUGAAGACACCACAGGCACCAUGACACUGCAGUAACAUGCCCACAGCCUGGCAUCGUCAUGUCAAUAAUAGAUUUAGAUCAUCAAGAUGGUCUGUCAACAUGUCAAUAGUAAUAGAUUUAGAUCAUGAAGAUGGUCUGUCAACAUGUCAAUAGUAAUAGAUUUAGAUCAUCAAGAUGGUCUGUCAACAUGUCAAUAGUAAUAGAUUUAGAUCAUCAAGAUGGUCUGUCAACAUGUCAAUAGUAAUAGAUUUAGAUCAUGAAGAUGGUCUGUCAACAUGUCAAUAGUAAUAGAUUUAGAUCAUCAAGAUGGUCUGUCAACAUGUCAAUAGUAAUAGAUUUAGAUCAUCAAGAUGGUCUGUCAACAUGUCAAUAAUAGAUUUAGAUCAUCAAGAUGGUCUGUCAACAUGUCAAUAGUAAUAGAUUUAGAUCAUCAAGAUGGUCUGUCAACAUGUCAAUAAUAAGAUUUAGAUCAUCAAGAUGGUCUGUCAACAUGUCAAUAAUAGAUUUAGAUCAUGAAGAUGGUCUGUCAACAUGUCAAUAGUAAUAGAUUUAGAUCAUGAAGAUGGUCUGUCAACAUGUCAAUAGUAAUAGAUUUAGAUCAUGAAGAUGGUCUGUCAACAUGUCAAUAGUAAUAGAUUUAGAUCAUCAAGAUGGUCUGUCAACAUGUCAAUAGUAAUAGAUUUAGAUCAUCAAGAUGGUCUGUCAACAUGUCAAUAGUAAUAGAUUUAGAUCAUGAAGAUGGUCUGUCAACAUGUCAAUAGUAAUAGAUUUAGAUCAUGAAGAUGGUCUGUCAACAUGUCAAAUAGUAAUAUAUUUAGAUCAUGAAGAUGGUCUGUCAACAUGUCAAUAGUAAUAGAUUUAGAUCAUGAAGAUGGUCUGUCAACAUGUCAAUAGUAAUAGAUUUAGAUCAUGAAGAUGGUCUGUCAACAUGUCAAUAAUAGAUUUAGAUCAUGAAGAUGGUCUGUCAACAUGUCAAUAGUAAUAGAUUUAGAUCAUGAAGAUGGUCUGUCAACAUGUCAAUAGUAAUAGAUUUAGAUCAUGAAGAUGGUCUGUCAACAUGUCAAUAGUAAUAGAUUUAGAUCAUCAAGAUGGUCUGUCAACAUGUCAAUAGUAAUAGAUUUAGAUCAUCAAGAUGGUCUGUCAACAUGUCAAUAGUAAUAGAUUUAGAUCAUGAAGAUGGUCUGUCAACAUGUCAAUAGUAAUAGAUUUAGAUCAUGAAGAUGGUCUGUCAACAUGUCAAAUAGUAAUAUAUUUAGAUCAUGAAGAUGGUCUGUCAACAUGUCAAUAGUAAUAGAUUUAGAUCAUGAAGAUGGUCUGUCAACAUGUCAAUAGUAAUAGAUUUAGAUCAUGAAGAUGGUCUGUCAACAUGUCAAUAGUAAUAGAUUUAGAUCAUCAAGAUGGUCUGUCAACAUGUCAAUAGUAAUAGAUUUAGAUCAUCAAGAUGGUCUGUCAACAUGUCAAUAGUAAUAGAUUUAGAUCAUCAAGAUGGUCUGUCAACAUGUCAAUAGUAAUAGAUUUAGAUCAUCAAGAUGGUCUGUCAACAUGUCAAUAGUAAUAGAUUUAGAUCAUCAAGAUGGUCUGUCAACAUGUCAAUAAUAGAUUAUGAUCAUGAAGAUGGUCUGUCAACAUGUCAAUAGUAAUAGAUUUAGAUCAUCAAGAUGGUCUGUCAACAUGUCAAUAGUAAUAGAUUUAGAUCAUCAAGAUGGUCUGUCAACAUGUCAAUAGUAAUAGAUUUAGAUCAUCAAGAUGGUCUGUCAACAUGUCAAUAGUAAUAGAUUUAGAUCAUCAAGAUGGUCUGUCAACAUGUCAAUAGUAAUAGAUUUAGAUCAUCAAGAUGGUCUGUCAACAUGUCAAUAGUAAUAGAUUUAGAUCAUCAAGAUGGUCUGUCAACAUGUCAAUAAUAGAUUAUGAUCAUGAAGAUGGUCUGUCAACAUGUCAAUAGUAAUAGAUUUAGAUCAUCAAGAUGGUCUGUCAACAUGUCAAUAGUAAUAGAUUUAGAUCAUCAAGAUGGUCUGUCAACAUGUCAAUAAUAGAUUAUGAUCAUGAAGAUGGUCUGUCAACAUGUCAAUAGUAAUAGAUUUAGAUCAUCAAGAUGGUCUGUCAACAUGUCAAUAGUAAUAGAUUUAGAUCAUCAAGAUGGUCUGUCAACAUGUCAAUAGUAAUAGAUUUAGAUCAUCAAGAUGGUCUGUCAACAUGUCAAUAGUAAUAUUUAGAUCAUCAAGAUGGUCUGUCAACAUGUCAAUAAUAGAUUAUGAUCAUGAAGAUGGUCUGUCAACAUGUCAAUAGUAAUAGAUUUAGAUCAUCAAGAUGGUCUGUCAACAUGUCAAUAGUAAUAGAUUUAGAUCAUCAAGAUGGUCUGUCAACAUGUCAAUAGUAAUAGAUUUAGAUCAUCAAGAUGGUCUGUCAACAUGUCAAUAGUAAUAUAUUUAGAUCAUGAAGAUGGUCUGUCAACAUGUCAAUAGUAAUAUAUUUAGAUCAUCAAGAUGGUCUGUCAACAUGUCAAUAGUAAUAGAUUUAGAUCAUCAAGAUGGUCUGUCAACAUGUCAAUAGUAAUAGAUUUAGAUCAUCAAGAUGGUCUGUCAACAUGUCAAUAGUAAUAGAUUUAGAUCAUCAAGAUGGUCUGUCAACAUGUCAAUAGUAAUAGAUUUAGAUCAUCAAGAUGGUCUGUCAACAUGUCAAUAAUAAUAGAUUUAGAUCAUCAAGAUGGUCUGUCAACAUGUCAAUAGUAAUAGAUUUAGAUCAUGAAGAUGGUCUGUCAACAUGUCAAUAGUAAUAGAUUUAGAUCAUGAAGAUGGUCUGUCAACAUGUCAAUAGUAAUAGAUUUAGAUCAUGAAGAUGGUCUGUCAACAUGUCAAUAAUAGAUUUAGAUGAUGAAGAUGGUCUGUCGACAUGUCAAUAAUAGAUUUAGAUGAUGAAGAUGGUCUGUCAACAUGUCAAUAAUAGAUUUAGAUGAUGAAGAUGGGUGAAAGUAAACAUUGCAGGCUGAUGGAAUAACCUCAACUCUGGGGGAGGCGAUAUGGGGACUAUGGUUGUAGUAGGAGGGUAGUGGGAUGUACAGGGUUAAUCAUCGCUGCAUGGGAUCCAUAGUGCAACAGGCAGGUAUGAUCUGACGUUCACACACAACAGGCAGGUAUGAUCUGACGUUCACACACACACAACAGGCAGGUAUGAUCUGACGUUCAUACACACAACAGGCAGGUAUGAUCUGACGUUCACACACACACAACAGGCAGGUAUGAUCUGACGUUCACACACACACAACAGGCAGGUAUGAUCUGAUGUUCACACACACACAACAGGCAGGUAUGAUCUGACGUUCAUACACACAACAGGCAGGUAUGAUCUGAUGUUCACACACAACAGGCAGGUAUGAUCUGACGUUCAUACACACACAACAGGCAGGUAUGAUCUGAUGUUCACACACAACAGGCAGGUAUGAUCUGACGUUCAUACACACACAACAGGCAGGUAUGAUCUGAUGUUCACACACAACAGGCAGGUAUGAUCUGACGUUCAUACACACACAACAGGCAGGUAUGAUCUGACGUUCAUACACACACAACAGGCAGGUAUGAUCUGACGUUCAUACACACACAACAGGCAGGUAUGAUCUGACGUUCACACACACAACAGGCAGGUAUGAUCUGACGUUCACACACACAACAGGCAGGUAUGAUCUGAUGUUCAUACGCACACAACAGGCAGGUAUGAUCUGACGUUCACACACAACAGGCAGGUAUGAUCUGAUGUUCAUACACACACAACAGGCAGGUAUGAUCUGACGUUCACACACACAACAGGCAGGUAUGAUCUGAUGUUCACACACACAACAGGCAGGUAUGAUCUGAUGUUCACACACACAACAGGCAGGUAUGAUCUGACGUUCACACAUAACAGGCAGGUAUGAUCUGACGUUCACACACACAACAGGCAGGUAUGAUCUGAUGUUCAUACACACACAACAGGCAGGUAUGAUCUGACGUUCAUACACACACAACAGGCAGGUAUGAUCUGAUGUUCAUACACACACAACAGGCAGGUAUGAUCUGACGUUCAUACACACACAACAGGCAGGUAUGAUCUGACGUUCACACACACAACAGGCAGGUAUGAUCUGACGUUCACACACACACAACAGGCAGGUAUGAUCUGAUGUUCAUACACACACAACAGGCAGGUAUGAUCUGAUGUUCAUACACAACAGGCAGGUAUGAUCUGAUGUUCACACACACACAACAGGCAGGUAUGAUCUGACGUUCAUACACACAACAGGCAGGUAUGAUCUGAUGUUCACACACACACAACAGGCAGGUAUGAUCUGAUGUUCAUACACAACAGGCAGGUAUGAUCUGACGUUCACACACACAACAGGCAGGUAUGAUCUGAUGUUCAUACACACACAACAGGCAGGUAUGAUCUGAUGUUCAUACACACACAACAGGCAGGUAUGAUCUGAUGUUCAUACACAACAGGCAGGUAUGAUCUGAUGUUCACACACACACAACAGGCAGGUAUGAUCUGACGUUCAUACACACAACAGGCAGGUAUGAUCUGACGUUCACACACACAACAGGCAGGUAUGAUCUGACGUUCAUACACACAACAGGCAGGUAUGAUCUGAUGUUCAUACACACAACAGGCAGGUAUGAUCUGACGUUCAUACACACAACAGGCAGGUAUGAUCUGACGUUCACACACACAACAGGCAGGUAUGAUCUGAUGUUCAUACACACACACAACAGGCAGGUAUGAUCUGACGUUCAUACACACACAACAGGCAGGUAUGAUCUGACGUUCACACACAACAGGCAGGUAUGAUCUGACGUUCAUACACACAACAGGCAGGUAUGAUCUGAUGUUCAUACACACAACAGGCAGGUAUGAUCUGAUGUUCACAUGUUCAUUUAAUUAAUGCUCUGGGUGAAACCUAAGAAACAAAACAGACAGAAAAGCCCAACAACAACAACAACAACAUUGUUUUAAAAGACAAAAGGCCAGGAUUAAAGGCAAUGUUACCCGUUCGCAAGAGAUCACAUUCAUGUUUCAAUCGUCAAUGACCUUUUUAAAUGUCAACUAGAACGUGGUUCCGGGUGGAAAAAGGAAGACGUUCUCCGCUCUAGAACCACUGCAUCACCUCACGUGGUCUUCACCACGUAACGGUCCGAAGUAGUGCACUACACAGGGGAUAGGGUGUCCUUGGGGAUGGGCCUGUAGCCUCUGGACGGGACGGGACGGGGGGCUGGGGGCUGGUACUUCAGAGUCAGAUGUUUAGUCCCAAAUGGCACCCUAUUCCCUAUAUAGUGCACUACUUUAGACCAGAGCCCUAUGACACCCUAUUCCCUAUA